ACAUUCCCAGUGCUCGGCAAUUGGCCCUUACCACAAAGCACCCUGACUUCAGAUCAGGGGGGAAUGAAGAAGAAAUCAGUCAGAAGCAAGAAAUCAGGGAGGGCUACAGAUUCAAUAUUUGUGAGGUCACAAUUUGGAAGUCUUUCUCAGUUCACUCCACUUAAUACCUAAUCCCCAUUAGCAGAAGAGGAUCUGAAAUUGUGAUGAAAGAGAGUUCCCCUAAAGAGUGAGUGGGUUUUACCAAGGAAGGCACAAGUAUUCAAGUUGAAUGUGGAGAACCCAGGAGAAAGGAUCCUUUCCCUCUCCUACGUCCCCUCAGGCCUGAGAAUUUUAGCCACAGAAAGGUGCUAACUUCUUGUGGCCUCAGAGGGAAAGUUCUAAUUGUAAUUAGAAAAGUGCAGGCCAAACAGAGCUUGGCCAGAAUGUCAGGGCAGGGGAAAGCAGGGGAGUAAGAAACUUCAGACUGUGGGUACAGAAAGGCUGAGAGGCGCUUCAGGUCCAGAAAACGCUGGGAUCCAGAAGAUUCCCUCCCUUAAAUCUAUCCAUGAACAACUUGGGAAAGGGGUAUAUGUACUCUAUGUCAAAAAUCCCUAGGCUACAAGCAUUUCUUCUUCACCUUUGCCAAACUGCCUACAGCUGUUAAUUUACCUGGAAAUAAAAUUAACCCUAACUUACUUCUCCUCAUAUCCUCAUCCAUAACUGGAGGCUCAGGUCUCUCUCAUGCUCCUACCUAUGAAGUACACAUGAUUUCUCAUACUGCUUCAAUAAUUGACACUAACUUUGUUUAAAUGUGUGUCCACUGGGCUUUUCCAUCUACCCUUCAGCUGAACAUUCUUAUGUGUUGUCUCCCCUAUUUGGAACAUGAAGUCAUCAGCAGAGACUGUCUCACUUUUCCAUUUGUAUCACUGUGUUUAGCACAGUGCUUGGAAUAUUUUUUAAUCCAUCAAUUCAUUCCUUCCUAAGUACACUAAUACAUAAUUGGUGGAACUAUGAAUUAAUCCAAUCAUUCUGAAAAUCACUUUGAUGUUAUUAAAAAAAAAAAGCAUAACUAAACAAUCCAAAGGACUUUUGGUCAUGAUGGAUGAAAAGAAAAAAAAAAGAAAUGAGAAACACCAUUAUGAGAAUUAAUCCACCCAGAAUUACAACUAAAAUCAGCCAGAAGUUCACAAGCAAUAUUUCACAACCCUGCUAGAAAAGCCAGUCUCAGGGCUGGAAAAGAAAACAGAAGCCUUUCUUCAUCCAGAAAUAGUAGUAGUCUAUAAGGCUUUAUAUCUGGAAGUAGCAAGAACAUAAGAUCAGAAGAAAGAUUUAGGGUAUCAGAAAUCCACAAUGAGGAUCUUGAAAGACCCCAGUAACAAUAAUGACCAGUUGGAGUAUAACAGUAUUUAAAUGGAGAAACAGUGGGCUCAGGGGCUCUGAGAUCCCUGUUGAAGAAAAUGUUAUAUUUUGAAGUAAAUAUCCUUUUGCAGAGGGUACUUGUUUUUUGGAGCAAAUGGACUGCACCACCUUAUUGUCCCAGCGAUACUCAUUAUUAAGUGGUUCAAUGGAACAGGGGCACUGGUCAUUGUUUCUUGACUAUGGUGGUAAUGGUGUUAGAGGAC